rnacentral:snoRNA from 1 species
GCCUCAGUUCAUCUAAGAAAUGGGCCCUUGCCCGCAAUAUUUUCCUUAUAUGAUCAGGUUCCAUUGCUGCUUGCCUGGAGCCUGAGAUGAUUAUGAAAAUGUGGCAGGCAAAGUGGGGCCAGGGACCCGGAG